rnacentral:rRNA from 1 species
UACGUAGGGACCAAGCGUUGUUCGGAUUUACUGGGCGUAAAGAGCGUGUAGGCGGCCUGAUAAGUCGGCUGUGAAAGUCAAGGGCUCAACCCUUGAAUGCCGGCCGAUACUGUCAGGCUAGAGUCCGGAAGAGGCGAGUGGAAUUCCUGGUGUAGCGGUGAAAUGCGCAGAUAUCAGGAGGAACACCUAUGGCGAAGGCAGCUCGCUGGGACGGUACUGACGCUGAGACGCGAAAGCGUGGGGAGCGAACAGG